rnacentral:rRNA from 1 species
UACGUAGGGGGCUAGCGUUGUCCGGAAUCAUUGGGCGUAAAGCGCGUGUAGGCGGUCCGGUAAGUCCGCUGUGAAAGUCGGGGGGCUCAACCCUCGAAUGCCGGUGGAUACUGUCGGGCUAGAGUGCGGAAGAGGCGAGUGGAAUUCCUGGUGUAGCGGUGAAAUGCGCAGAUAUCAGGAGGAACACCAAUUGCGAAGGCAGCUCGCUGGGACGGUACUGACGCUGAGACGCGAAAGCGUGGGGAGCAAACAGG